UACGGAGGGGGCUAGCGUUGUCCGGAUUGACUGGGCGUAAAGCGCACGCAGGCGGCUGUGCACGUGGGGUGUGAAAGCUGGCGGCUUAACUGCCAGACGCCACCUCAUACGGCACGGCUCGAGCCCGUGAGAGGUCCACGGAAUUGCCGGUGUAGUGGUGAAAUGCGUAGAGAUCGGCAGGAACACCCAGGGGGAAACCAGUGGACUGGCACGGUGCUGACGCUCAGGUGCGAAAGCGUGGGGAGCGAACCGG
rnacentral:rRNA from 1 species